CUCCGUUUGUACUUCGUCCAUAGUUUCUUUUGCUGCGACAACAUAAAUACUCACAUUCAGGUUUCCAUAAUAACAGUACAAUAAGUAGAUAAAAAGUUAUCUCAAACAAAUUUUUAACUAGCAAUUAAUCAAGGAGAGAGAGAAAUAGCUUCAAUAGUUCAGAAAGACCAAUUAUUGAAAUUAUUCAAAAAUUACACUAAUUUGGAAUCGAAUUUUGACAGUAUUGUAAUUUUUUUGAAUCUAGAUAUCACCAUUUCACACAUGACUAAAUAGUCAUGUUUAUGUAUAAUCUCUUUGAAAUCAUCACUUCAAGACCUAAACACCUCAGUCAAAAGCUUCAAGGGCAUUAAAUUUACAAAUAUCUUUUCAAAAUUCCCUAACCCGAACAAAGAAACAUACAAAAAUGGGGAGCGAGAUGGAGAAAAACGAAUUAACUCGGAUGGAGCGUUGAAGUCCAUCUUCAGAUGUGGACAGAGAUGGUGAAUGAUGAAAUAAUGGUUCAGCGACCGUCUUUGCAAGCACCUGUCUUCGCAAUGACCAAAAUCUUGGCAAGAGUGCCACCAAGCAGCUUGAUUUUCAUUGGGAUUUCAAGUUUUCAGUUUGGGAAAAUUUGUUUCCCUUUUGUUUCCAUGG
rnacentral:lncRNA from 1 species